CGCUGGCGGCAUGCUUUACACAUGCAAGUCGAACGGCAGCGCGGGGGCAACCCUGGCGGCGAGUGGCGAACGGGUGAGUAAUAUAUCGGAACGUACCCAAGAGUGGGGGAUAACGUAGCGAAAGUUACGCUAAUACCGCAUACGAUCUAAGGAUGAAAGCAGGGGACCGCAAGGCCUUGUGCUCCUGGAGCGGCCGAUAUCUGAUUAGCUAGUUGGUAGGGUAAAGGCCUACCAAGGCAACGAUCAGUAGCUGGUCUGAGAGGACGGCCAGCCACACUGGAACUGAGACACGGUCCAGACUCCUACGGGAGGCAGCAGUGGGGAAUUUUGGACAAUGGGGGCAACCCUGAUCCAGCAAUGCCGCGUGAGUGAAGAAGGCCUUCGGGUUGUAAAGCUCUUUUGUCAGGGAAGAAAAGGGAGCAGCUAAUAUCUGUUCCUGCUGACGGUACCUGAAGAAUAAGCACCGGCU
rnacentral:rRNA from 1 species